CGUAGGCGCAAGCGUUGUCCGGAAUUAUUGGGCGUAAGAGCUCGUAGGUGGUUGUCGCGUCUGUCGUGAAAGCCCACGGCUUAACCGUGGGUCUGCGGUGGAUACGGGCAGACUAGAGGCAGGUAGGGAGAACGGAAUUCCCGGUGUAGCGGUGAAUGCGCAGAUAUCGGGAGGAACACCGGUGGCGAAGGCGGUUCUCUGGGCCUGUACUGACGCUGAGGAGCGAAAGCGUGGGGAGCGAACAGGAUU
rnacentral:rRNA from 1 species